rnacentral:rRNA from 1 species
CCUACGGGUGGCAGCAGUGGGGGAUAUUGGACAAUGGGCGCAAGCCUGAUGCAGCGACGCCGCGUGGGUGAAGGAGGCUCUCGGGGUGUAAACUUCUUUUAUCAGGGACGAAGCAGGUGGCGGUAGCUGAUGAAUCAGCCACGACUAACUACGUGCCAGCAGCCGCGGUAAUUCGUGGGGGGCAAGCGUUAUCCGGUUUUACUGGGUGUAAGGGGCGAGGAGGCGGGAAAGCAAGUCAGAUGUGAAAACCAUGGGCUCAACCUGUGGACUGCAUUUGAAACUGUUUUUCUGGAGUACUGGAGGGGCAGACGGAAUUCCUAGUGUAGCGGUGAAAUGCGUAGAUAUUAGGAGGAACACCAGUGGCGAAGGCGGUCUGCUGGACAGCAACUGACGCUGAGGCGCGAAAGCGUGGGGAGCAAACAGGAUUAGAUACCCGGGUAGUC